rnacentral:lncRNA from 1 species
GCCUCACAACAACAGAGAUCACAGUAGAUUACUGUCCCAUAAAAACAGAGAUCACAGUAGAUUACAGUCCCAUAACAACAGAGAUCACAGUAGAUUACAGCCUCACAACAACAGAGAUCACAGUAGGUUACAGCCUCAUAACAACAGAGAUCACAGUAGAUUACUGUCCCAUAACAACAGAGAUCACAGUAGAUUACUGUCCCAUAACAACAGAGAUCACAGUAGGUUACAGCCUCAUAACAACAGAGAUCACAGUAGAUUACAGCCUCACAACAACAGAGAUCACAGUAGGUUACAGCCUCAUAACAACAGAGAUCACAGUAGAUUACAGCCUCACAACAACAGAGAUCACAGUAGAUUACAGCCUCAUAACAACAGAGAUCACAGUAGAUUACUGUCCCAUAACAACAGAGAUCACAGUAGAUUACUGUCCCAUAACAACAGAGAUCACAGUAGAUUACAGGCUCACAACAACAGAGAUCACAGUAGAUUAAUGUCCCAUAACAACAGAGAUCACAGUAGAUUACUGUCUCAUAACAACAGAGAUCACAGUAGAUUACAGCCUCACAACAACAGAGAUCACAGUAGAUUACUGUCCCAUAAAAACAGAGAUCACAGUAGAUUACAGUCCCAUAACAACAGAGAUCACAGUAGAUUACUGUCUCAUAACAACAGAGAUCACAGUAGAUUACAGGCUCACAACAACAGAGAUCACAGUAGGUUACAGCCUCAUAACAACAGAGAUCACAGUUGGUUACAGCCUCACAACAACAGAGAUCACAGUAGAUUACAGCCUCACAACAACAGAGAUCACAGUAGAUUACAGCCUCACAACAACAGAGAUCACAGUAGAUUACUGUCCCAUAACAACAGAGAUCAUAGUUGGAUACGGCCUCAUAACAACAGAGAUCACAGUAGAUUACAGCCCCAUAACAACAGAGAUCACAGUAGAUUACUGUCCCAUAAAACAGAGAUCACAGUAGAUUACAGUCCCAUAACAACAGAGAUCACAGUAGAUUACAGCCUCACAACAACAGAGAUCACAGUAGGUUACAGCCUCAUAACAACAGAGAUCACAGUAGAUUACUGUCCCAUAACAACAGAGAUCACAGUAGAUUACGGCCUCACAACAACAGAGAUCACAGUAGGUUACAGCCUCAUAACAACAGAGAUCACAGUAGAUUACUGUCCCAUAACAACAGAGAUCACAGUAGAUUACAGCCUCAUAACAACAGAGAUCACAGUAGAUUACUGUCCCAUAACAACAGAGAUCACAGUAGAUUACAGGCUCACAACAACAGAGAUCACAGUAGAUUACUGUCCCAUAACAACAGAGAUCACAGUAGAUUACUGUCUCAUAACAACAGAGAUCACAGUAGAUUACAGCCUCACAACAACAGAGAUCACAGUAGAUUACUGUCCCAUUAAAACAGAGAUCACAGUAGAUUACGGUCCCAUAACAACAGAGAUCACAGUAGAUUACUGUCUCAUAACAACAGAGAUCACAGUAGAUUACAGGCUCACAACAACAGAGAUCACAGUAGGUUACAGCCUCAUAACAACAGAGAUCACAGUUGGUUACAGCCUCACAACAACAGAGAUCACAGUAGAUUACAGCCUCACAACAACAGAGAUCACAGUAGAUUACAGCCUCACAACAACAGAGAUCACAGUAGAUUACAGCCUCACAACAACAGAGAUCACAGUAGGUUACAGCCUCAUAACAACAGAGAUCACAGUAGAUUACAGCCUCAUAACAACAGAGAUCACAGUAG